GUGGGGAAUAUUGGACAAUGGGCGAAAGCCUGAUCCAGCCAUGCCGCGUGUGUGAAGAAGGUCUUCGGAUUGUAAAGCACUUUAAGUUGGGAGGAAGGGCAGUAAGUUAAUACCUUGCUGUUUUGACGUUACCGACAGAAUAAGCACCGGCUAACUUCGUGCCAGCAGCCGCGGUAAUACGAAGGGUGCAAGCGUUAAUCGGAAUUACUGGGCGUAAAGCGCGCGUAGGUGGUUUUGUAAGUUGAAGGUGAAAUCCCCGGGCUCAACCUGGGAACUGCCUCCAAAACUACUGAGCUAGAGUACGGUAGAGGGUAGUGGAAUUUCCUGUGUAGCGGUGAAAUGCGUAGAUAUAGGAAGGAACACCAGUGGCGAAGGCGACUACCUGGACUGAUACUGACACUGAGGUGCGAAAGCGUGGGAGCAAACAGGAUUAGAAACCCCAGUAGUCC
rnacentral:rRNA from 1 species